AAAGAACCUGAAACCGUUACGACAGAAGCGUAUUGCGUUGAAUUGAGGGCUGUUUAACUCUUCAGCUGAACGUGAGUUUAGUGUACUGAGUUAAGUAGUUAUCCGUCGUGCCUUUUCUGUGGCUGAUAUUGAGCCGCGGGAGAGGGAGGGAUCCCCUUUAUGGGUGAGGACGAUGGAGUGGCAACGCGAUGCGACCCGUCUUGAAACACGGACCAAGGAGUCUAACAUGUUUGCGAGUUGAAGGGUAGUAAACCUGGAGGCGCAGUGAAAGCGAACUUCUAAAACGGACAGUUUGUGGCGGCAUAAAAUCGUUGAUUUUAGGUCUGACUAAGAGCAAAUAUGUUAGGACCCGAAAGAUGGUGAACUAUGCUUGAGUAGGCCGAAGGCAGAAGAAAUUCUGCUGGAGGGCCGAAGCGGUGCUGACGUGCAAAUCGCUCGUCGAACUCGAGUAUAGGGGCGAAAGACUAAUCGAACCAUCUAGUAGCUGGUUCCCUCCGAAGUUUCUCUCAGGAUAGCGGGCCGACAAUUAUUGUUUUGUGCGGUAAAGCGAAUGAUUAGCGCACUCGGGGGCAUUCAGUCUUCGGUCGAUUCUCAAACUUUUAAUGCGCAAGGGGGCUG
rnacentral:rRNA from 1 species